AGGGUAAAAUCCAGUACCAUGAACACAUCACUGAAGGAUUUGAAAACAUGCCAGCUGCAUUUAUGGGAAUGCUGAAAGGAGAGAAUCUGGGGAAGCAAUAGUGAAAGCAUGAACAAAAAUGACACAUGGAAUCUAGAAAUCAUUUGGAUGUUUACUUAGUUUCUUUAUAAUCAUUUAGUAAAAGGACAGACUGAUGACACCCAAACGCAAUACAUGCUGGACCAGAAACCAGAAGUCAAGAGCAGGCCUCUCACUGUUGUGGCCUCUCCCGUUGUGGAGCACAGGCUCUGGACGCGCAGGCUCAGCGGCCAUGGCUCACGGGCCCAGCCACUCCAUGGCAUGUGGGAUCUUCCCGGACCGGGGCACAAACCCGUGGUCCCCUGCAUCAGCAAGCGGACUCCCAACCACUGCGCCACCAGGGAAGCCUGAUACUGAUAAAUGUAGUUUUGUUUCCAUUUAUGCAAUAACUCAUUGAAUUUAAUGGUAAUAACAGAGUUGACAGAAGAGUUGAAUUUAUUUAAACAUAUUGCUUUGAAACUAUAUGCUUUUGUUUCAAAAUCAAAUCAAUUCUUCUAAUAAAAAGAUGAACUUUGUAAACGUGGAUGCAAAUAUCGAAGGAAAAUAUUUUCUGAUACUUGAAAAAUUUAGGUAUAUGCAGACUAACAACAAAGUGCAUUUGGAAGAACUAUAUCAAUCUACUUUUCAAUUCUAAGUUUUAUUAAUCUCAAUAUGGCUCAAGUAUUUCAAAUAAAAAUUUAGUGUAUGAACUAAGAUGUGCUGCAACUGUAAAAUACACAUGGGUUUUGGAGACAGUGCAAAAAAAUAAUAUAAAAUAUCUCACCAAUAAUUUUUUAUAGUGAUUAUAUGUUGAUAUAAUAUUAUGGAUAUACUGGGUAAAACAAAAUAUAUUAUUCACCUGUCUUCUCUUACCUUUUUAGAGUGGCUACUAGAAAAUCUGAAAUUAUUACAUGGCUCACAUUCUAUUCCUAAUGGACAGUGCCACAGUAACUGAAACACCUUCCAAGUGGUGUUUUAGAGCCCUCUUCUUAAAUGUGAGUAGUCAAAGAUCACCAGAAGUUUGAGGAAAGCCUCCAGGGAGAAAGAGAGAAAACAAAAACAACUCAGAGGAAAGAUAAUGAAGGGAGUGGUAACACUAAAAGACACCAUAUUAGCAUCCUCAGAGAAAUGAGUAUUUCACCCAUGACACAGAAUAUGA